UGUUUCCUGGACUCCAGACCUUUGUCUCCUAGGACCGGCAGCGCUCUCCAGCCUGGCCAGACGUUGGACAGAAACUACAUUACCCAGUGGGCACCGAGAGGGCGACAUCACCCGAAAGGGGGUGUUCCGGUCUCGUUUGCAGAGGCAGGAUUUCCGGCGUCACCAGGCGAAAGCGUUUACGGCGUGGGGCGCGACCCCUCCACCCUCGCGCUGAGUUCUCGGCUGCCGGUCGGUCGGAGCAGGGCAGAACGGCGAGAAGGCCCCACCUGCGCCUCCGCGGGUUCUGGGUGGGGUCGCUGAGCCCCCGGGCGCCCCCGUGGGAACCCGCUCGCAACAGCUCUGAUGGCGGCGCACUUGGACCGCCGCAGGUUGAGAAAACCCAGAAAGAUGUAUCACACUUGUGUAAAUGAGCGUGUGUCAAAAGGGCGGACAGUUUUUGCUUUGAUUUUAUGAAGGAAUAUUUGUGAGUCUACAUACUACAUACACACACACGAAUAUAUAUAUUCAUUUACCGAACCAGCAACAGGGACCUUGUUUAUUUAUAUUGCAAAUAAAUUUUUCUCUCUUUAAGUCUCAA